GAAAAGAACUUUGAAAAGAGAGUUAAACAGUACGUGAAAUUGUUGAAAGGGAAACGAUUGAAGCCAGUCGUACCGGCGGGUAAUCAGCCUUUUGGGUGUGAUUAUGUGGAGCGUGAGGAGUUUAAUCGCCUUCAUGCCUGCGUAUUCGUGCACUUUGGGUGUACUUGCUCGUGUGGUAGGUUAACAUCAAUUUCGGUCGUCAUAAAAUGAUUGGAGGAAUGUAGCUUCGAUCUCGUAUUGAAGUGUUAUAGACUCUGGUAGAUGUGAUGAUCGGGAUUGAGGAUUGCAACGGAUACCCUU
rnacentral:misc_RNA from 1 species